UCGGAUUGUAGUCUGCAACCCGACUACAUGAAGCUGGAAUCGCUAGUAAUCGCGGAUCAGAAUGCCGCGGUGAAUACGUUCCCGGGUCUUGUACACACCGCCCGUCACACCAUGGGAGUCGGAAAUGCCCGAAGUCUGUGACCUAACCGUAAGGAAGGAGCAGCCGAAGGCAGGUCGGAUGACUGGGGUGAAGUCGUAACAAGGUAGC
rnacentral:rRNA from 1 species